rnacentral:lncRNA from 1 species
GGAUGAGAGAACUCCAGUUGUGAGAGGAGAAUAAAAGCGUCAGUUUUUAAAAAGGCUCACCUUUAUGCAAUACACAGACUUUAUGAUUCAACUGGAUGAUGGCUGGCCAGGUGAAGGAAGAUAUUGCCAUGAAAGGCGAGAAGCAGGAUUGUAAUCCAGCCGCAUCUCGUCGGAACAGGCACCUGUGGUGAAAUGAAUUAGCAAGGAAGAUACUCUGAAGGCAAUGGAAUCUUGUGACUUCUCCUAUAAUAGUGUUUUGCCUAAACAAGUUUCCCAAAGCUCAUGGAAAAUUUAGUUACAGUUUCAUGACCAAAGACUUUUAAAAAAAGAGAAAACUGCUCUCGAGGAAUUGUAUGCUCUAAGAAAUGAGAUGUUUACCAUAUAAUGCUCAAUUAAUCAUUCAAUAAACAUUUAUUAAACAUCUACUAUGGGUUAGAG